rfam:Schistosoma margrebowiei strain Zambia genome assembly, scaffold: SMRZ_scaffold0005667
AUCCAGCCGACGAGUCCCUUACAGGACGAAACGCGCUUCCUGGAU